UCCCUCCCUCCCUCCCUCUCCCUCUCCCUCUCCCCCCUACUCUCACCAAAAGGCCACACUCUCUUCUCCCGCUUCGAGAAGGCCACAUUACUUAAUCGAGAAGAUUUAACCUGUCCACUCCCCGCCCCACCCCCCACAACUCCCAUCUAGCGCUCCAGGACGAGCAGCCACCGCAAGGCGCUCUGGGAAACGUAGUUUCUAAAAGUUAUCUGAGCAACGGAGUCAAAAGGAGAAUGAGCUUUUUCAGCCAAUUAGAGGCUCUGUGGUACUUCGCCAUACUAUUCUACGCACUGUCUCUGCAACAGCCAAACUGAACCAUUGGAGCUUCUUCACAACUUUAGUGAAGUUAUUUGAUCACCUCAUCUUUAAGGACCUUUUUACUACUUGUUCUCACUCCACGAACUAGCCUAAAUCACAAAUGUCAUCGCCCACCUGAUAUCCUUAUGUAACUCCAAACCGUAGGUUGACACAAUUGCCUGCUUUUGGUUUGCUAGGUACUCCUGGAAGGGGAAACAUACUGUACCUGUUCUAACAUGUUUGUACCACUGCAGUCAAAGAGCUAAGCCCUAACUCGGUGAUUAUAGCAUGAGGGUGGGGGCUAAAUAAUAGUAGAGGCGAGGAAUCUGCUGCUGAGAACCCUGGAGGCAGUACAAGACCAUGGAAGGGGUAUUUCUGUGGCCUUCCACUCCACACUUACACUUCAUAGUUGUCCUUCUCAAAAGACAUGAUAAUGAAAUGUGGAACAAAGCAAAAUAUUAGGGGAUUGGUAAUAAAGUACAAGAUACUGUGAAGACUUAGAAAUGUAACAUACAAAGAAUGAUAAAAAAUAGCAAGAAUAUAUAGCAGACACUACAUUGGUUUGUUAAAAGAGUUAAAUGAGUCCACAAAACAAGUGAUAAAGUAUUUUCCAAAGCAUUGUGAUGGAAAGAGAUAGUUUCUGAUGGAAAGCCAGGCAUAUGCAAUGUUUUUUUUAGCUUUCUAGAAGAUUAAAAGAUUAUACCCAAAAGAAUUCCCUUGAGAAGUAGCAGGUCUAUGAGGACCCUGGAAAGCAGUAAGUAAUCCUAGCUUCAAAAAAAAUUUUAAUGAAUCUUUUUGAGGAGAAAAGGAGAUCCAAAACAGGGGCACAUCAGAAGCCCCUGCUGGGCUGCAUCUGCAGAGGAAGAAUCCCAUGAAGACUGAGGCCCUGCUGACACACAGCUAUUAAGCAAGCUUCAAGCCCCUGGUGAUACCCAUACAGCCUAACACUUCUCAGGAAGUGUGUGCCAAGCACUGGAGAGGAGAUUUGGUUUGGUUUUUUUCUCUUACAAUAAUAAUGUUUUGAGAGGUUGAAGGGAGGGCAAGGGAAUGGGCAAAAAAUAAGAAAAAAAUAAUAAUA
rnacentral:lncRNA from 1 species